CCAACGGCCCUCUUUAGGGCCACAUUUGGAGUAAUAGAAUUACGUU
rfam:Angiostrongylus costaricensis strain Costa Rica genome assembly, scaffold: ACOC_scaffold0000674